rnacentral:lncRNA from 1 species
GGAAAAGCAGGACCUAUCUGCAUACAGAAUCCACGGGAACGUUAUUGUUCAAGUAAUGAACAUAGAUGGCAUCAGCACUUACUCAAAGGAAUAGAUUUCUGUAAAACUCUAUGCCCGUUAAAACCUAGACUUCAGCUGGGUGCUUGUAGACCUGGGAGUAUCUGAACAAACUCCAGGGCUUACAGUUGACCGUGCUGAUCCUCUGCUUCCGCCAUGGAAGAUGUUACCACUGAUUGAGGAAGCUUUUAAAGGGAGGGAAGGAAGAUCUCUUUGUAUUAGUUUUUCCGGCUGUAUGGAGAUCAAUACUCAGCUCACAAUAGUUAAGGAAACACUGGCUAGUGAAAGGUCUUAGACAUGAAAAAUUUUUCUUCCCAAAUCUCCUACACAUCCCAGCUUUCUGUUUUGUCCCUUGUCAUGAAAACCAGAUUGCAUAAUAGAUGUGUUCAGGAUCCAAAGAAAGUGGCUUACAAGACACAGUCAGGUCUCACUUGGGUGUUUACUCUUAGAAGGACUGUCGGGUAAUCCUACAUGCUUCUGAGCUUUUAGUAUGGCAGAAGGCUCCCAAGAACCUGUGACCUCCAAACAUCCUACAAGAUGGAACGGAACACUGACACACGAACGGGUUGUGCCAUGUUGACUUCAAGACACUGUGCCCUCCCUGGAAUACUCUGUACGGCAUCAGACAGCUCCAAGAGAAGGUCAAGUGCAGGGAGUUGGGGGAACAAACGGGCCACAUGGAGCUUGGGCCUAAACUCAUAGAUCUUCAUAAAUCUCCAAACCAAGUCUGAAAGAGUC